rnacentral:rRNA from 1 species
AUAGAUAACAAUAAUACAAUAAGAAUAAGAUCUAUCAGUUAGUUGUUAAGGUAAUGGCUUAACAAGACUAUGACGGAUAACGGUAUUACUUUGUAAUAUUCCGGAGAAGGAGCCUGAGAGAUUGCUACUAAGUCUAAGGAUUGCAGCAGGGGCGAAACUUGACCUAUGAUAUGAUAUUGAGGCAGUUAUGAGUAGUAUUUUAUAAUUAUUGUAGUAUUGUAAGUAUAUGCUACAAGAUAAAUCGGAGGGCAAAUCGAGUGCCAGCAGCCGCGGUAAUACUUGUUCCGAUAGUGUGUAUGAUGAUUGAUGCAGUUAAAAAGUCUGUAGUUUAUAUUUAAUAAACAUUGUGAGGUAUAUUGUAUGGUUAGGAGAGAGAUGAAAUGUGAUAACCCUAACUGGAUGAACAGAAGCGAAAGCUAUAUACUUAAAUGUAUUAUUAGAACAAGGACGUAAGCUAGAGGAUCGAAGAUGAUUAGAUACCAUUGUAGUUCUAGCAGUAAACUAUGUUGAAUCAUAGAUAUACAAAUUGUGUAUUUAUGU